GAUGAACGCUAGCUACAGGCUUAACACAUGCAAGUCGAGGGGUAACAAGAGAAAAGCUUGCUUUUCCUGUUGACGACCGGCGCACGGGUGAGUAACGCGUAUCCAACCUGCCCAUAACUAGGGAAUAACCUUGCGAAAGUAAGACUAAUACCCUAUAAUUUCCUUUGACGGCAUCUGACGAGGAAUAAAGAUUUAUCGGUUAUGGAUGGGGAUGCGUCUGAUUAGCUUGUUGGCGGGGUAACGGCCCACCAAGGCAACGAUCAGUAGGGGUUCUGAGAGGAAGGUCCCCCACAAUGGAACUGAGACACGGUCCAAACUCCUACGGGAGGCAGCAGUGAGGAAUAUUGGUCAAUGGGCGGAAGCCUGAACCAGCCAAGUAGCGUGCAGGAUGACGGCCCUAUGGGUUGUAAACUGCUUUUAUACAGGAAUAAAGUUAGCCACGUGUGGUUAUUCGUAGGUACUGUAUGAAUAAGGACCGGCUAAUUCCGUGCCAGCCGCCGCCGUAA
rnacentral:rRNA from 1 species